GACGAACGCUGGCGGCGUGCUUAACACAUGCAAGUCGAACGGAAAGGCCUGCUUUCCCUUGUGGAUUGCGGGUACUCGAGUGGCGAACGGGUGAGUAACACGUGAGUGAUCUGCCCCCAACUUGGGUAUAAGCCUGGGAAACUGGGUCUAAUUCCCGAUAGGACUGCAGGGUGGUGCCUGUGGUGGAAAACGAUUUUCUAGUGGUUGGGGUUGAGCUCGCGGCCUAUCAGCUUGUUGGUGGGGUAAUGGCCUACCAAGGCGGCGACGGGUAGCCGGCCUGGGAGGGUGGACGGCCACAUUGGGACUGAGAUACGGCCCAGACUCCUACGGGAGGCAGCAGUGGGGAAUAUUGCACAAUGGGCGGAAGCCUGAUGCAGCGACGCCGCGUGGGGGAUGACGGCCUUCGGGUUGUAAACUCCUUUCGACCGCGAGGAAGCCACCUGGUUGGAAGGGUGGUGACGGUAGUGGUAGAAGAAGCACCGGCUAACUACGUG
rnacentral:rRNA from 1 species